UACGUAGGUGGCAAGCGUUGUCCGGAAUUAUUGGGCGUAAAGCGCGCGCAGGUGGUUUCUUAAGUCUGAUGUGAAAGCCCACGGCUCAACCGUGGAGGGUCAUUGGAAACUGGGGAACUUGAGUGCAGGAGAGAAGAGUGGAAUUCCACGUGUAGCGGUGAAAUGCGUAGAGAUGUGGAGGAACACCAGUGGCGAAGGCGGCUCUCUGGGACGGUACUGACGCUGAGACGCGAAAGCGUGGGGAGCGAACAGG
rnacentral:rRNA from 1 species